UUUAGUUUUCCUGAAAUCAGGGGGCCCCGCUUGGAGAAUAGGGUCAGUUUUUACUUUAGUCAAGCUUAGUUUAUAGUUUUGCGCAAGCUCAAUCACGUUUAGAAGACGUACAUACUAGUCGAGCCAUUAAUUUUACUCUCAUCAUUGCAUCCUUCAUCAGCAGCGUAGGUGAUUUAUAGUUUUUUAAACACUCACAGAUGUUCCCACUAUCAAACUGGGGCAGAAAAUUUUCUUUUGUUUUGUUUCUUUUGUUGUAAUCAGGCGCCCACCUGGAGAACAAGGGAAGACAACUCAAGUUUCAAGGGAAAACAGUUUCGAAGGAAGACAGUUCAAGUUUCAAGGGAAAAUGGUUCAAGGUGCAAGGGAAAACAGUGUCAAGUAACAAAGAAGACGGUUCAAGUUCAGCAAUCAGGCGCCCACCUGGAGAACAAGGGAAGUUAUUUCAAAAUUCAAUUCAAGUCAGAAGUAGCAGAAGCUCAUGGCAAGAAUGCGAGUCAACAAUCCGAGAUGAUCAACAGAAGUAGGCUCAAUCCAAAAAAAAAGAAGAAGAAGAAAAAAAAAGAAAAAGAAAAAAAUAAGUGAAUCCAAAAUGUAGAAGCGAAGAAAGAUGUGGACUACUGAAGACGUGAUUGAAGUCACAAGCUUUGCAUGUCCCGUCUUGAUCCGAAAAAGCUGAAAAAGAUUGAACCAAUACCUGCAACUAACAAGCAUCAAGAUUCAGAUCGGAGUCCGCAUGAAAAACCAACCAAGACUCAAGAUCAAGCUUCAGAAGACUCAUAGAUAGGAAUCGUGUAACUCGUAGCUGAUAGACGUAGUUAGUCUUUUUCAUUUUUGAUUUUGAUGUAAUAACAGGACCGCGGACAGGAACCUCAGCGGAACGGCACGUCGCUCGGCUCUCAACCUCGGCAUACUCCAUCAUCUCACUCACCUCUGAACUACACGUGACCUGAUUCCUUUAUAGCCAAGGAUAUGUAGGCAACUCAGAUACCAGGGCUCGGUCACAUUCCCUUAUCUCUUAGUUUUAAUCUCUUCAAAUAAGGGUCAGAUCAAAAAACAUGUCUACUCGUUCUUUGUCCGAAAACUCUUCGUGUUUUCAGUCAAAGAGGGGAAGCUGUAGACAUGUGUUUUUUGUCCCUCCCCAAGAUUUUUCGUAUUUUAGCAUGUAAAUAUUUAAUUUAGG
rnacentral:lncRNA from 1 species